rnacentral:misc_RNA from 1 species
UUUAUAGUUGGUUCUCUUGGCAUUUUAGCCGUUUUGAUUCUAUCCAUAAUUUCUUUAAGAUCAUAUGGAUUUUUCUUUUCUUCAAUUUUCUUUUCUAAAGUUUCUAAAGGGCUUUUUUCCUUGAACAAGGUUAAAUAUUCGUUUAACCUUUUUCUUCUUUCUUCUUGAUCUUCGAUCUUAUCUAUAAGAUCUAAGAUUAGAUUUUC